rnacentral:rRNA from 1 species
AUUGAACGCUGGCGGCGGGCCUAACACAUGCAAGUCGAGCGUGCGGCGGGCGGGUGCGUACUGUCGGGGAAACUGCCUGAUGGAUGGGGAUAACUACUGGAAACGGUAUCUAAUACCGCGUACCAUCCGAUGUGCCCAGAUGGGCUUAGCUGGUAGGUGGGGUAACGGCUCACCUAGGCGACGAUCCCUAGCUGGUCUGAGAGGAUGACCAGCCACACUGUGACUGAGACACGGUCCAGACUCCUACGGGAGGCAGCAGUGGGGAAUAUUGCACAAUGGGCGCAAGUCUGAGGCAGCCAUGCCGCGUGAGUGAAGAAGGCCUUCGGGUUGUAAAGCACUGUUAGCGGGGAGGCGGUACCCGCAGAAGAAGCACCGGCUAACUCCGUGCCAGCAGCCGCGGUAAUAC